GACGAACGCUGGCGGCGUGCCUAAUACAUGCAAGUCGAACGCAGUGGGGACGGGUGAGUAACACGUGGGUAACCUCCCAUCAGAGGGGAUAACACUUGGAAACAGGCGCUAAACUGAUACUGAUUGAUGGACCAGCUGUGCAUUAGCUAGGUGGUGAGGUAACGGCUCACCAAGGCAAUGAUGCAUAGCCGACCUGAGAGGAUGAUCGGCCACACUGGAACUGAGACACGGCCCAGACUCCUACGGGAGGCAGCAGUAGGGAAUAUUCGGCAAUGGGCGAAAGUCUGACCGAGCAACGCCGCGUGAGUGAAGAAGGUUUUCGGAUCGUAAAGCUCUGUUAUUAGAGAAGCGGUAUCUAACCAGAAAGCCACGGCUAACUACGUGCCAGCAGCCGCGGUAAUAC
rnacentral:rRNA from 1 species